GAUGAAGAACGUAGCGAAAUGCGAUAAGUAGUGUGAAUUGCAGAAUUCAGUGAAUCAUCGAAUAUUUGAACGCACAUUGCGCCCGCCAGUAUUCUGGCGGGCAUGCCUGUCUGAGCGUCAUUUCAACCCUCAUGCCCCUAGGGCGUGGUGUUGGGGAUCGGCCAAAGCCCGCGAGGGACGGCCGGCCCCUAAAUCUAGUGGCGGACCCGUCGUGGCCUCCUCUGCGAAGUAGUGAUAUUCCGCAUCGGAGAGCGAUGAGCCCCUGCCGUUAAACCCCCAACUUUCCAAGGUUGACCUCAGAUCAGGUAGGAAUACCCGCUGAACUUAAGCAUAUCAAUAAGCGGAGGA
rnacentral:misc_RNA from 1 species